GCCAUCGCGAAGUUCGAACNNGCUUCCCUGCNUUNNGCGGGAGGGGCGUGGCGUACNNGGCUCAGUAACACUGUAGUCAACCCCUGCCCUGGAGACAAGUAUAACCCCGGGAAACUGGGAUUNAAUCCUUGAUAGGUCAUCUCAUCUGGAAGGAGAGAUGGCUUAAAGGGGUGCGAGAGCUUCUUUCUUGUACCCGCUCCAGGAUGGGACUGCGGCCGAUCAGGCUGUUGGUGGGGUAAUGGCCCACCAAACCUGUAACCGGUACGGGCCUUGAGAGAGGGGGCCCGGAGAUGGACACUGAGAGAAGGGUCCAGGUCCUACGGGGCGCAGCAGGCGCGAAACCUUCACAAUGCGCGAAAGCGUGAUGAGGUUAAUCCGAGUGGUCCCCGCUGAGGGGAUCUUUUGUCGGCUGUAAAAAGGCCGGUGAAUAAGGGGAGGGCAGGUCUGGUGUCAGCCGCCGCGGUAA
rnacentral:rRNA from 1 species